rnacentral:lncRNA from 1 species
CCAAUGCGGAAACUCGCUUGAAGAUGAUUUGUUGGGGAAGUUCAAUUUUAUGACGGAUCUGGUGGAGGAUCGGCCGGUGAUGGACCUCGGAUGGCGUUGGGGAGGUUCAGCAGACAUCGGAGGUGAUCGAUCAUUGUAGGAAUCCAGCUGAUGGAGCCCGAUCGUCGUAGAAGCUCAUCCAAUAUCCAACCGUUAUGGAGGUUCGAUCGAAGUCUGGUUCUUGUAGAAGGCUGAAAGGAGACCGCUUAUUGUAGAAGCUCGAUCGAAGGUCAGUUAUCAUGGGAGCUCGGAGUAGCAACCUAGCCGAUGAGUCCUGUCCAAUUGUAGAAGCUCGGUCA